ensembl:lncRNA
GAAAGAAAGGCAGCCUGCACAUCUGGGCCCAGUGAGGCCAGAAGGUACCAUGUGACACACCUGAAGGGGUAACCAGAAGCUGCGGGCAUGGACUGAGUUGAGGGGAUGAAAUUGCUCAGAUGCCUGAGGCGACAGACUGAGUUGACUAGAAUCAUCAUGAUUAUUCAAAUGAGAAUUAUCCAAAUGACCCAGAUUUCUUCCCUGCUGCAUCAUGACAAAUUGCUAGACAAUGACACCUCUACUGUCUGCAUUUCUGUGGGCAGACACAUUUGGAUACCCAUACAGGUAUUCCACAUCAUAACAUCGUAUAGUGCACUGGGAGUUAAAGUGUUAAUGCUCCAGUUCCGGGCAUCUGUCCGGAAGAGAAGAACUACAUCCCCUAGGGGGCUUUGUGGUUGGAGAGGAGAUAUAACCUCUGGCAAAGUCACCUGAUGUCCAUCUUCUUCCCUUGGCUCUCAUCCCGACCACAUGCAUCACCUCAGCACUACUGUGCCUUAGCAUAGCUUCCAGGAGGAUCUGCUCCAUGGCCUACCCUAGCACAGAGGUGAGGCUAACAGGGGAUCUGGAUCACUCUUCCUAAUGCUUUCUUCAAUGUCAAGUCUGAACUACAACACAUUAGUAGGCUCCUUCAGCUAAG